rnacentral:rRNA from 1 species
UACGUAGGUGGCAAGCGUUGUCCGGAAUUAUUGGGCGUAAAGCGCGCGCAGGCGGUCCUUUAAGUCCGCUCUGAAAGCCCGGGGCUCAACCCCCGGGAGGCGGGUGGAUACUGCUGAGCUCGAGUCCGGAAGAGGAGUGUGGAAUUCCUGGUGUAGCGGUGAAAUGCGCAGAUAUCAGGAGGAACACCAAUGGCGAAGGCAGCACUCUGGGACGGUACUGACGCUGAGACGCGAAAGCGUGGGGAGCAAACAGG